UGACUAUUAUUUUGAUCCCUAAUCAAUUUCACCUAAGCGAAUUUCCUAUAUAAUCAUAAUAAAUUGAAGAAGUAAAGAAUCCAAUAAGGUUAACAUUAGUUAUCACACCAAUACAAUCAUGCAUUAAUAAAUAUGGGGAAUAGGUCUAGUGGGGAUAGACUCCAUUCUUGUUGGACUACCACUAGAUAGGACCAACAUUAUCUUUAUUAAGUCAGCAAAAGACAGGAGGAAGCAGCAAUAACGGCAGCCCAGUUGCUCAAACUGGACUAGGGCCCAAAAGGAGCUCAGCGAGAGCAAAGGAGUAUUCAUGCAAAACAAGGAAAAGAUAAGCAUCAGUAUACUCUUGCUUCCAUCACCAAGUUAAGGGAAAAAAAACAUAAUAGCAUAAAUACAUAAAUGUUAUGCCAAAGAAUUAAUAAUGCUCAAACUAAAUACUUGUGAAUAAUUUUCCCAAAGGAUCAAUAUAUUCCAAAUUUGCCCAAAGUCUAUUUGUGUCAAAAGAAUUCCCUUGAUUUUUGAUACUUCGGAGUUCACAAGGGUCUCUCGGAUUCUGAGUAGUGCUUGUGCCAGAGAGGGAUUCCUCAAUGUAUAGUCGACCCAAGGUUAAAUUAGUAACCAUGAACCCCUACUCCUCCAGAGGGCAAAUCAAACAAAAGCGAUUACCCUCACAUAAUAGCAUUCACCAAACUUCUAGUCGUGAAUUCAUAUACUAUUAGGAACAAUUUAUCAACCCAGACCGAAAAUAUUUAGCCAUUUCUAAGAGACUAAAUCUUCAUCAAAACAAGUCCUAAGGUAACACAUUUGUUAUUAUGUUCUAACUGAUUUGAUUUCAUGGUAUAUACAGAAGGGGUAACUCUAUUGAACUACGUUUUAGCAUAGAAUGUUGGGUUUACUUCCAUAAUACCAAUUCUUUUAAUGGCAAUCUACAAAAGAAUCUUCUUCUCUUAUAUUCACACUAGCAACCUAGUACUUUAAGAAUUUCAAAAGACUAAUGGAAUGACAGAGUUCUCAUGUCUUGCAAACAAAGAAAGACUCAGACUGUUCUUAACAUAGGAAUAGCCAUACUCAUACUUUGAAAUGCAGCUAAUGCAAACAGGAAAGAGAAACAAGCAUAUUACUUCUCUAAUUGUUCUAAAGUUCUAUGUAAUUAUUCUAGUUUGAAGGAUUUCUUUUAUAAAUAUGCUUAUGGACUAAAUUUUAUGUCUGCUUCCUUAACAAUAAGAAAUCCUAAAGGCAUCAUCUCUAUUUCUUAUUUGCAAAUAGUAUCAACAGACUUAUGUAAAUUAAAUUGUUACUGUAUUAACCCAGUCGGUCGUUUUGAGUACUUUAGCCCCAUUUGCCCGAUUAGAUGCUUUACUUAAGUGUAUUUGAGGUUACGUGAGUUUCCGCGGUGGUUCGUUUGGUUUCAAGGAAGUUUUAGAGUAAACUAGGAAACUUAGUCCCAAGGUUGGAAGCUUAAGUUGUAAGAGUUGACCGUAGUUUGACUUUCAUGUAAAUAACUUCGAAAUAGAGUUUUGAUAGUUUAAAUAGUUUCGUAUUAUAAUUUUGGACUUAGGCGUAUGUCCGAAUAUGGAUUUGGAGGUUUGUAGGUGGAUUUGUUACUUUUUGGCGAAAGUUAGAAAGUUGAAGAAUUGGAAGGUUGAUAGGUUCGACCGAUAGUUGACUUUGAUAAUAUCGGGUUCAGAUUUUGAUUACGGGAGUUGGAUUAGGCCUAUUAUGUCAUUUGGAGCUUGCAUGCAAAAUUUGAGGUCAUUCGAGUCGUUUAGGCUUGUUCGACGUAAGUUUUGAAUUUGGAAAAUGGGAUUAGUUCCUUAGGCUUGAAUUGAGGUGCGAUUUGUGAUUUUGAUAUUGUUUUGUGUGAUUUGGCGCCUCAAUCAAGUCCGUGUUAUGUUUUGGGAUUGAUUGGUAUGGUUGGACUGGAUACCCGGGACCUCGGGUGUAUUUCAGACGGGUUUCAGACCAUUUCUCCAUGUUUUAGAACUGCUAAUUCUCAUUUCUGGUUUCCCUUUUCACAAUCGCGAAGAAGCAAUUGCAUUCGUGGGAGGGUAUUUCUGAUGGAAGGUGAGUUGUUCUUCGUGUUCGCAAAAGAGUGAUCGCAUUCGCGAACUGUUUGGAGGCAGUGGCCUUCGUGAUCGUGAUGAGGGGGGCGCGUUCAUGUAGAAGGGGAGGACGGCUGGGGUGUCAAGCUUUUAGCCUUGAAGAUCACGAGGUGGUGACCACGUUCACGUAGGCUUAGAGGUGGAGUGCAUUGUGUCCGCGUCCUGGAUGUCACAUUCGCCAAGGGGUUUUCCAGGGCAGUGUUUGGUUGUGCUUUGCGAUGGCAAAGUUGGUCCCGCGAUUGCGAAGGAUAUGCCUGGGCAGGCCAUAAGUACUCUACUUUUUCGAUAGUUUUCGCCAUUUUAACAUAUUUAGAGUUGUGGAUCUCAGAUUUGGGUAAUUUUGGAGGGUAUAUUCACGAUUUGGAUUGAAGUAAGAAUUUUUUACUCGAAUUUGUUAUAUUCAUGAUUCCAACAAUUAUUUUAGCAUUUAAUUGAUGAAUUAAAGUGUGAAAAUUGGGGAUUUUAGUAAAAACUUUUCUAAAGCAUAAAUUGAUGAUUUGAGGGUCUAUUUGAGGUCCGAUUUGAAUGAAACACAUAUAUUUGGACUCAUAUUGGAAUGGAUGUUCAGAAUUUGAGAGUUUGGUCGAGUUCCGAUAUAUGGGUCUAGGGUUGAAUUUUUGGAUUGACUUUUUGUUUUGGUUAAAGAUCUUAUUUUUAUCAUUUGGAAUCGUUUCCUAUGACUUUUAUUGAUGAUAGUAAGUUAUUUUGGCUAGAUUCGGGCUGUACGGAGGUUGAUUCACAGGGGAAGGGCUUAUUAGAGGAUUGAUUUGGCUUGCUCAAGGUAAGUAUCUUACCUAAACUUAGUUGAGGCACUAGUUUCCUGAGCUAUUUUUCAUAGCUACGUGCUAUGGGUGGCGCACAUGUGUGGGAUUGAGCCCAUGUGCGUGCACCAGGAUCUUUGUUUAUGCUCGGGGUAGUAUUUAGCUUAUGUUAUGCCUUGAAUUGAUUGCUAAGCUUCAUACCGUGAUGGUUCUUAUACUUGUACUCCUAUUGUGAACUAUUUGAGCCAUGUUUGAGGUUACAUAGAGGUUAGUCUCCUGAUUGAACCUGAUAAUUAUUAUUUCCAUGAUGUAAUUGCCCGGUUUGAGAUAUGAUAGUACACUUUGCACAUGCAUACACCUUAGCAUAUCAGUUAUACUAAUCCAAGAGUAUGGAAUUUGAUAUUCAUUGAUAAUAUACAUGUAUUUUUGUAUAUUUUCUUCCUGUGUGAUAUGGAUUCGACCGGUAGCACAUGACCACGCCAUGCGGUUUGUGAGAUUGAGCAUGUGACCAUUCCCAGCAGAUUAUGAUAUUGAGCUUGUGACCACGCCGAACGAAUUAUGAUAUUGAGCUUGUGACCACGCCGGGCGAAUUGUGUAUUGAGCCUAUGACCACGCCGACCGGAUUGUGAUAUUUAGCAUGUAACCACGCCGACUGAAUUGCACGUGACUACGCCGUACAACGUGUGGAUAUGUAUCUAUCUGCCUAGGGUCACCCUCUCAUGGCCUUCUUGAUGGUGUACAUUAGGACUUGAAAAAUAAUUGAUCAAUGGUUUGGUACUGUUAUGAAAAUUAUUAGGAAAAGCUAGUCGGUGCUUGAUUUGGUUAUUGCAUUUCAUCUUUACUUGCAAUUUCCUUGGUUGUUUACCUGAUUUGCUGCAUAUAUUCUUUAUAUGCUGGAUUUUUGGCUUAGCAGAGUACGUUAAGUUAUUAUGUUCACACAGUGGUUUCUUCAUGUGCCUCGUGAUUUGAUAAUAUUAUUUGUUAUGUACUUGUUGGAUUUAUGAACUGUACAGGUGGUUAGCGAGUAUCAUUUAUAAUUCUUGCUUUUAUUGCCUAGCGGAGGUUAGUUAUGAUACUUGCUGAGUAUAUGGGGUUGAUUGUACUCAUACUACACUCUACACUUAAUUGUGCAGAUCUAGGUGUUGAAUCGAGCCACUAGUAGCUGAGGCUUAUUGAUGAUUGUCAUCAGAGAGACGAGGUAGCGUUGCAUCUUGACCGCAGUCUUGGCAUUUCUUUUCCUUUUUGUAUCGUUUUGUUUAUUCAGACAGUGUUAUUAUUUGGCAUUUCAGACAUAUAUUUUUGUUUUAGAGCUCAUGACUCUGUAUUAACCAGUUCCAGUGGAUUUUAUUUUUGUAUUGACGUUGUUGUUUAUGUUAUUUUGCCUUAGACUUGUACUAAUUCAGUUAAUUCAGUAUUUUUAUUUCAUUUUUGUUAUGUUUGGCUUGCCUAGCAAGUGAGUCAUCAUGACAGGAUGGUGGUUUUGGAUCGUGAAAAGUUAGUAUUAUAGCUCUAGGUUCAUAAGUUCUACGAGUCAUAAGCAACUUUAGUAGAGUCUUUCGGUACGGAGACGUUUGUACUUAUCUUUAAAAAGCUAUCAAACUAUUAGAAAACUUCACUUUCAUGUAUUCUUGUCAUGCAGAUUUAUUAUUUCUAAAGUUUAAACCUUUACUCUUCUAUUCUCUCAGAUAUGGUGAGGAAAUAAUGAGCCGGAUCAGGCGGCCAAGCACCAGUACGACCAGGCAGGCUGCAAGAGGUCGGGGCUGAGGUGGGGCUCGUACUACUGCUAGGGCAGUAUCUGUGGAGCCACCAGUCGCUCCAGUGGAGGAGCAAGUUCCAGAUAUUGUUGAGCCGGUGGAACCAGAUUAGACACCGGCAGUACCUAUUGUUAUACCUGUUCUUCAGGAGGCUUUGGCUCAGAUCUUGAGUGUGUGCACUAGCUUGGCUAAGGCGUUUAAGGUACCAGUUACACCAGCUACCACACAGGCUAGAGGAGGAGCCCAAACUCCCGCCACCCGUAUAUCGGAGCAACUAGCUUAGGCUUAUCAGACACCAAGGGUGUUACCGACUUAGCCAGUUAUUGUUGCUCGUGUCGCGAUUGAUCCAUCUAUGUCCGAUGAGGAGCAAAAGAGGUUGGAGCGGUUUGAGAGUUCAGUGGAGGGGAGUUAGAGGAUGUUCAGAGUUUUCUGGAUCGGUGUCAUCGGAUUCUUUGCACAACGCGUAUUGUGGAUAUCAGUGGGGUUGCCUUUACAACUUUUCAGCUGACAGGGGCAGUCUACCAGUUGUGGCACACUUACGAGUCUAGUAAGCCAGCUGGCACAACACAACUUAUAUGGCAUGCGUUCUCAGUUCUCUUCUUAGAGAAGUUUGUCGUACAGACUCGCAGAGAGGAGUUGGAUAGGGAGUUUGAGCAGCUAUGCCAGGAGAUAUGACUGUGACCCGGUACGAGAUGAGAUUUUAGAUUUGGCACAUCACACUGUAUGGUUGGUUCCUAUAGAGAGGUAGAUGCUCAGGAGUUUCAUUGCUGGCCUCAACUAUCGUCUACGUUACUGUUUGGUUCGAGAGGCCAAAACGGAUGCAGCGUGUGGAUAUAUAUCCAAACCCUAGGGUCACCCUCUUAUGUGCCUUCUUGAUGUUGUACACGUAGAUUUGAGGUAAACUUAUUAGUGGUUUGGUACGAGUAUGAAAUUCUGAGAACAAACUGGUCAGUGCUUGAUUUGGUUAUUGUGUUUCAUCUUCACUUGCAAUUCCCUUGGUUGUUUACAUGAUUUGCUACAUAUCUUCUUUAUAUGCUGGAUUGUUGGCUGAGCAGAGUACAUUAAGUUAUUAUGUGCACACAGUGGUUUCUUUCUGUACCUCAUUACUUGAUAAUAUUUUUUUUUGUACCUAUUAGAUUUAUGUACUGUACAGAUGGUUAGUAGUAUCAUUUAUAAUUCUUGCUUUUAUUACCUCGCCGAGGUUAGUUAUGGGGCUUAUUGUUGGUUGUCGUCCGAGAGAUGAGAUAGAGUUGCAUCUCGACCGUAGUCUUGGCGUCUCUAUUCCUUUUUGUAUUGUUGUCUUUCAUUUAGACAGUAUUUUUAUUUGGCAUUUCAGACUUGUAUUUCUGUUUUAGAGCUCAUGACACUGUAUUUACCAUUACCAGUUCAGGGAGAUUUGUUUUGUAUUGACAUUGUUUUUAUAUGUUAUUUGGCCUUAGACUUGUACUAAUUCAGUUUAUUCAGUAUUUUUAUUUUGUUCUUGUUAUGUUUGGCUUGCCUAGAAAGUGAGUUAAGCGCCAUCACGACCAGAUGGUGGUUUAGGUUGUGACAGUCGCAAUGUCUCUUUGUAAGCAACAUGCUAUUGUUAGUCCUUUUCUAUACCAUUGAAGUUCCUAUGAUGUUUAUACUAGAAGUUUAGAGUACUACUAUUUGACACUCAAUUUCAAAACCAUAGGUAUUAAUCAGCCCAGGUUCAUAUUGUUCAUGCGUGGAUAAAGAAUUGUUCAUUCCUUACACAUACUUUAAAGAAGUUCUAUAGAGUUGAUCGCAACACUUAGAGAGCAGAGUUUAAACUAAUCUUGCAUGAUGAAACUAACCUAAGAAUAACAAACUCCUAUUUAUGUAUAGAGUACAGGCUACUAUUGUAAAAUGCAUGAGUAUUUCACACAGAAAACUAAGGAUGAUUGUGUUCUACUAUACCUCCUAAGCUUUAUAAAGAGUAAAUAUGCUCGUGAGGAAUUCAAUUAUUGAUAUUGUGCAAGUUAAGCAAGUGACGACUUUAAAAGACAUAACUUUAACACAAUUAUCUUUUAACUAAAAUUAAGAAUCUACGAUACAUAACCAACAGAAGGUCAUCUAACGAGAUUCAAUGUACAAAAUAGGUAAUGAGACAUCAUGCAACUCAAAAUCAAAUUCAGAGAAAAAAAAAAGUUUUUACCCUGUGUUAAGUAACAAACUAGGGCUAGGAAGAGUGUCGUCAAGGUUGUGUAUCGAAAAUUGUUCUCAAUCCUCAAGCUCAGCCGGAUUUGAAAUAGACAGAAGAGUAAAAAUUGAGUAAGUACUAAAGAUUAGAACUUUAAGACUUUGAGUGAAUUCUUUUAUUCAAUUUGAUUUUUUCGAGGUUGUUGAAAGACAUUUAUGUCCGGCAUUUAUAGCCAAGAAGUGAAGUAGUUCUCGUUUGAAAACUUGAGAUUUUCAGGAUUUGAAAGCGGGAAUCCAUGAUGCAACACAGUGACGAAAUCAUGACGGUGUUAAUAGUGAAAAUUAGUGGAAAGAGUGAAGAGUGGUCACCUCUCUAAUUUGAUGAUGAAAAUAUAGCCAUUUGAAGCUUUAGACUUUUGGAUUUGAGCUUUACCUGCCGAAUUGAAACUCCGACCGCCGAAUCUUGCAAGGAUGACUGAGGUCAUGGAUUCUCUUUGGAUCUUUACGAAACAGCCCCAAUCUCAAGAGGCAUGUGAGGUUUGGAGAAGAAUCGUCAAAUCUUUAGAGGAAAUCUUUCGAUCUUCAGAUAAAAUAAUGAUGGUGAAGCUGCAGUUGCAUGCUUUUAGGGCUAAGGUUUUGAAACGAAUCAAGGUGAGAAAUGAGAGGAAGAAGGAAUAACCGACGAGAUUCGCGAUCUUAGGGUAGAGGAGAGACGGAGGAGAUCAGUGAAAGUCGGUGUAGCACCGUUUGGUGCUAGGGUUUUGACAGCUUCAGAGAUAAGAGAGGUGAGAGAGACGAGAGAAUUGGAAAAUGGGGGCGGCUGUUCUUUGA
rnacentral:lncRNA from 1 species